rnacentral:rRNA from 1 species
AGUGAACGCUGGCGGCAGGCCUAACACAUGCAAGUCGAACGGUAACAGAAAGCAGCUUGCUGCUUUGCUGACGAGUGGCGGGCGGGGGAGUAAUGUCUGGGAAACUGCCUGAUGGAGGGGGAUAACUACUGGAAACGGUAGCGAAUACCGCAUAACGUCGCAAGACCAAAGAGGGGGACCUUCGGGCCUCUUGCCAUCGGAUGUGCCCAGAUGGGAUUAGCUAGUAGGUGGGGUAACGGCUCACCUAGGCGACGAUCCCUAGCUGGUCUGAGAGGAUGACCAGCCACACUGGAACUGAGACACGGUCCAGACUCCUACGGGAGGCAGCAGUGGGGAAUAUUGCACAAUGGGCGCAAGCCUGAUGCAGCCAUGCCGCGUGUAUGAAGAAGGCCUUCGGGUUGUAAAGUACUUUCAGCGGGGAGGAAGGGAGUCAAGUUAAUACCUUUGCUUAUUGACGUUACCCGAAGAAGAAGCACCGGCUAACUCCGUG